rnacentral:lncRNA from 1 species
UUUUUUUAUUACAGCCUAUAAAGAGAACAAUACUGUAAAAACAUUUUUGUUCAGUGAAGCAUUGUAAUUUCAGUGUGAAUUACUAGAUUGAAGUGUCCCGUGAUUCAUUCAGUUAUUUGCCUUGCUGGUUGCUGUGCUGUGACAAUCCUGUGCUCUGAGGUGUGUCCCGACCAGGACAACCAUGAGCUGGAUGUGUGAUGUGGAUAACUGCAGCUUGUGGCCAACAUCAGAAAGAUCGAAGAACAGAAUACAGUUGGAAGCCAACAACAUAUUUGUGCUUCAUGCAUAGAGGGAGCAUAGGAAAUACUCUGCCUUCUGAUGCAGCUGUUAGAGGGAAUAAUAUACCAAAGCCAAGCAAAGAUGAAGAAGAAAGAUAGAAAGGACUACAAACAUCAGGAGCUGAAAGAGUUUACCAUGAAUGUGGGAUUCUUGAGGCUUUAAGACUCUGAGGUGGUGAAUUCUCCACAUUUUUAACAUGGACACCUGUCACUUCCUAGAAUUUUGAAAUAGUACAUAAGGUACUAAUUAAAUAUAAAUGAAACUAUGGUUUUUUUGUGUCUGUUGAACUGCAGAAAUACCAAUGGCUGAUGUAAAGGCUUUGAAAUCCCUAAUUAGGAAACUGACAAACUGAGAUAAAUAUAUGUUGUGUUUCUCUGAGUAAGAGAAAAAAUCCAAAUUAUCUUCAAUUGCCUGAUAGUCACCUGCUUCAUUUCCC